UGUCCAACCCAUCGCGACCCCAUGGACAACGUUCCUCCAGGCCUUCCUGUCCUCUACCUUCCCCAGAGUCUAUUUAAGCUCAUGUCUACUGCUUCUGUGACUCCAUCCAGCCACCUCCUUCUCUGCCAUCCCCUUCUUCUUUUGCCCUCAACCAUUCCCAGCAUUCGGCUCUUCUCCAUACAAGUACAUCUUGCCCC